rnacentral:rRNA from 1 species
UCGAACGGCAGCACGGGAGCAAUCCUGGUGGCGAGUGGCGAACGGGUGAGUAAUAUAUCGGAACGUGCCCAGUUGUGGGGGAUAGCCCGGCGAAAGCCGGAUUAAUACCGCAUACGACCUACGGGUGAAAGCGGGGGACUCGCAAGGGCCUCGCGCGAUUGGAGCGGCCGAUAUCAGAUUAGCUUGUUGGCGGGGUAAGAGCCCACCAAGGCGACGAUCUGUAGCUGGUCUGAGAGGACGACCAGCCACACUGGGACUGAGACACGGCCCAGACUCCUACGGGAGGCAGCAGUGGGGAAUUUUGGACAAUGGGCGCAAGCCUGAUCCAGCCAUGCCGCGUGUGGGAAGAAGGCCUUCGGGUUGUAAACCACUUUUGUCAGGGAAGAAACGGUCUGAACUAAUAUUUUGGACUAAUGACGGUACCUGAAGAAUAAGCACCGGCUAACUA